ensembl:lncRNA USP12-AS1 USP12 antisense RNA 1
AGGCAGAGCCAAUAAUUUGAGGGGAUAAAACAAAGCUCUGCUAUGUUCAAUCUCCUAAUUGUCUGAAUAUGUUUCUUUUUUUCCACAGAGAUUAAACAAAUAAGAUCCCUCUGCCCCACUGAAACAGGAGUUACCAACUUUUUGAAGAGGCUUGUGAGAUCCAACCCCUCUCCAGCUGAGGACCUGAGACCUAGUGAGGACAAUGACUUCUCAUAUCUACACUGCUAGUAGGAGACAAGCACUGGUUUCAGAAAAAGAGGCGCUUAAGCUUAAGAGAGUUUGAAUGGUAACGUUUAAAUGUCUGCUGCUACGGAAGCAAGAAAAUUCACUCCCUGUGUGGCUGCUGAUUCUGAGAAGUGUUCUGUUUAAGUCCAGCCCAUCUUCUCUCCACCAUUCCACACACACACAGCCACAUCAUCCCUGCUUCACCCGGCAUACCAGGAGGAGGCAGGAAGGACUUUGGAAAACUUUUAUACUGAAUGCAGAACUUGGUACUCCAGAUCAAACUGCAGAAGUAAAUGAUAAUCCUUCCCCUUCAAGGCCCUCACAAUUGAGUAAGAGUUCAAAGAAAAAUUUACUGCACAGUCCCCAGAGCACCAUCACUUCUAAGACUGUGACCUGCUUACAGAUCCACUCCUCUGCCCCCACAGUCCACAUGUCCACCCUGGGGGCCAUGGCUUAUUGAUUCUUCCAUGUAUCAGCCCAAGAAUCCCCUGCUGCCUUCUGAAUAAAGGGUGCAAAUACACGAAG